rnacentral:piRNA from 1 species
UGAAAGUCCUCUGCUUUUCUAAAAGGUUA